AUUGGUAUACAUAAGACUCGAAGACAGAGAAGCCUGUUAACAAAUAUUGUGAUAAUUACCUUUCCUUAAAGCCCACUUAUCUUGAGUACCACCAGUACAGAUCAAGAAAGAAGCAACCAUCCACACUGGCCUGACUGUGAGUUCAUCAGAUUACUCAAGAGGUUGGCACACUGAAUGAAAUGGAACCACAACUACUAUGUAUCUGUCUGAAGAUAAAGGGAUCAAUUCAUCAAAGCUGUUUUUAUCACCUUUCCAUGUUAUGUCGACAUGGAAAUAUACACCUGCUCAUCAUCAAAGCUCUUUAAUCUCCUUUCUAUUGUACGCCAAGAUAUGCAUUUAUUAAUCAGUACAGGAAAUAACACUCCAAAAAGGAAUAUGGUGCUAAUUCUACUGUGGGGUAUUAAAAGACUGUAUCGAAAUAAAAAUAAUAAAAUAGGUGAUAUGAAUGGAAAGUUUCACAAUACUAAUAAAACC